GGCCUACCAGUUCUGUCCAAAUUAGAGGUCAGAUCCUCCGUGAAGUGAAGUUUACAGUUUGGGCUGAGAAAGGGAAAGGGUCAGACAUUUCUGUGACAGGAAUAUAAAAAGUGUAAUAUUAGCUAAGAUGCUUAACUUACCAUGAAGUUAGCAUGCCAAUAGAACAUACUCAACAUCUGAGCAAAGUUGGCUUGCACUACAUGGCUAGCUAGCAUUAGCCGGCUAACAUUACUGCUGACUGACUAGCUAGCAGACUGGAUAGCCAGCGCUACAUGGCUACUGGAUAUAGCCAUGCUAGCUAGUAGUAACUAGCUAGUGGAAGUAAGUUAGUCCCUAAACCUGAUACAAGACGAAGCUGCCCAGCUAGAGGUACCCGCUACAGAAAGGAGAAGGGCACCUGAGCAGAUCAUCAUGAACUUCAUCCAGUUAAAGUUACAUCAACCAAUGCAUUCACUCACUCAGAUGGUGUAUAGGCUAGUUGAUGGCACCUACAUGUCUGUUUGAAGGGACAACUGGACAGAACAUAUCAGAAUGCUUGGACCUCAGCUGAGCGCCUUCUCUCCUUCCCAGUCUUUCAAGAAAAGCACCUUCUUUAUACUUUCUGUUUGGCAUGAUGCUCUCAAGGUGUGUCUCUUUCCAUGUUGUGUGGUAUUACAUAUAGAUUACUCGUAGACACGUACACAUUGUUUGCCUCUGAAUUGGUGUCUACUUCAGGCUAUGUACUUGUUACCUUUACAUAAUUUAAUGAUCCCUCCACUGCCACAUGCUCUCGCUCUUUCUCUCCAGGAUACAUUAGGGGAAGCUGCUUUGGUGUUGUCACCAAUCUCCAGUGG